AAGACUUUAAGUUAAAUAAAACUAUUAACCUUCAAAGUUAAAAAUAUAAUUAAUAAUAUAAGCCUUA
rnacentral:tRNA from 1 species